GAGAGAGAGAGACUAGCCCCGCCGGCGGCCCAUUGAGGAAAGAUGGCCACAGUCAGUGCAAACGGAGUGCAGCAGGAGAAUGGAUUCAGCACCACGGACAGCGGCGGCAGGAUGAACGGGCUCAGCCUCGGCCAGAACACCAUCCCCAUGAAGGACCACGACGCCAUCAAGCUUUUCAUCGGCCAGAUCCCCCGCAACCUGGAGGAGAAGGACCUGAAACCACUCUUUGAGGAAUUUGGCAAGAUAUACGAACUCACGGUACUGAAAGACAGGUUUACCGGGAUGCAUAAAGGAUGUGCCUUUCUAACAUACUGUGCCAGAGAGUCAGCACUGAAAGCCCAGAGCGCCCUCCAUGAACAGAAGACGCUGCCAGGGAUGAAUCGGCCCAUCCAGGUGAAGCCAGCAGACAGCGAAGGACGGGGAGAAGACAGGAAGCUGUUUGUGGGGAUGCUGGGCAAGCAGCAGAGCGAGGACGACGUCCGGCGGCUCUUCGAGACCUUCGGCCAGAUCGAGGAGUGCACCGUCCUGCGGGGUCCUGACGGGGCCAGUAAGGGCUGUGCUUUCGUCAAAUUCUCCAGCCACGCAGAAGCCCAGGCUGCUAUCAACAGCUUGCACGGCGGACAGACUAUGCCUGGGGCCUCGUCCAGCCUGGUGGUCAAAUUCGCAGACACAGACAAGGAGAGGACUCUGCGCAGGAUGCACCAGAUGGCGGGUCAGCUCGGCAUCUUUAGUCCCAUGACCAUCCAGUUUGGGGCCUACGGCGCCUACUCUCACGCUGUAAGUCUCAGCCCGGCGGGGGAGGAGACGCAGAUGAUGCAACAGCAAGCAGCCCUGAUGGCGGCAACGCAAGGGUCCUACCUGAACCCCAUGGCGGCCAUCGCCGCCGCGCAAAUGCAGCAAAUGGCAGCUUUCAAUGUCAAUGGCCUGGUGGCCACGCCCAUGACACCAUCCUCAGGUAACUCCUACCCUGAUCACAGAGAUGUAACUCCAUCCAUCCAUCCAUCCAUCUUCUUCCGCUUAUCCGAGGUCGGGUCGCGGGGGCAGCAGCCUAAGCAGGGAAGCCCAGACUUCCCUCUCCCCAGCCACUUCGUCCAGCUCCUCCCGGGGGAUCCCGAGGCGUUCCCAGGCCAGCCGGGAGACAUAGUCUUCCCAACGUGUCCUGGGUCUUCCCCGUGGCCUCCUACCGGUCGGACGUGCCCUAAACACCUCCCGAGAUGCACCAGCACACCCCCAGGCAUCACUGCAACAGCUGUCCCCAGCAUAGGCGGCCCCAUCGGAGUAAACGGAUUCAGCGCUCUGGCGCCCCAAAGCAACGGGCAGCCCACGUCGGAGCCCAUCUACACCAACGGCAUUCACCCGUACCCAGCACAGAGUCCGACGGUGGCCGACCCUCUCCAGCAGGCUUACGCCGGCGUCCAACACUACGCAGCAGCCUACCCUGCCGCCUAUGCGCCAAUCAGCCAAGCGUUCCCACAGCAACCGACCAUCAUCCCCCAGCAACAGAGGGAAGGGCCAGAGGGUUGCAACCUGUUUAUUUAUCACCUGCCCCAGGAAUUCGGUGACGCCGAGCUCAUGCAAAUGUUCCUCCCUUUCGGCAACGUCAUCUCUGCGAAGGUCUUCGUGGACAGAGCAACUAAUCAGAGCAAAUGUUUCGGCUUUGUGAGUUUUGAUAACCCAUCCAGCGCCCAAGCAGCCAUCCAGGCCAUGAACGGCUUUCAAAUAGGCAUGAAGAGGCUGAAGGUGCAGCUAAAGCGGCCAAAGGACGCCAACCGACCUUACUGACUGGUCUGCAGUCUGGAUGAAGGGACAAUCCCCACUAUGGCAACCCAGUCACAGUGUGAGGUGGCCUUGCCGCACUAUAGCCACACCCCCUCGCCCAACGCCAAAGUUGCUGCAGCAGAUGAAGGGCCACAACACCUUAUUUCCACAAGUGCAGUCGAAAGUACAAAGACUCCUUGCUCUGCUACAUAUCACGAAGGAAUGGUGGUCUCUUGAUCCCGCUGGAAUCCCGCUAAAAGAUUGGGCGACAGAGAAGAGUUUUCCCUUUUUUCUUUCCCGCUUCUUUGUUUUUUUUUUAAGUUUUUUUUUUUUUUUGCAAACACCUUUUUUAUUAUUCUGUUUUGUUUUGGAAAAUUUCUGCAGAGACCAACUUUUUUGCUGCUCUUUUUUAGACAUGAUGGGUUGGGGAAAAGAAAGAAAAAAAUAACUUUUUAGACUCAUUAUGCUCAAAGCAUGCAUAUGUCAACACACACGCAUACACAAAGACAAUGAAGUUAAAAAAAAAAAAAAAAAAAACUUUGUAUAUGUAUAAAUAAGUGCAAAUGCCAAUUCAAGUACUAAAGCAAACAAACACACACAUAUAUAAACACACACACACUCAAGCACACACACACACACACACACACACACACACACACACACACACACACACACACACACACACACACACACCAGCCUGCUGCCAUUUUGGUUUUUGUGCCUACACAGCUGUGUACUGUGUGACAGGGCCGUGCUCUGGAUGGAUGAAGACAACAACAAAGAAGAAGAAUCCAGGAUAAUUUACAUGCAUCAUUCCUUAGGAAAUAGGGACCAAAGGACUAAAACGCUUUUUAAAAGAAUAUAAAUAUAUAAAUAUAUAUUUAAAAAAAAAAAAAUCAUACCUUGUAGCUUCAAGUAUUACUCAUAGUUAAAAAAAAACAUUAAAUCAAUAUCCAGUGGCCUACUGUAAGUACGAAUAAAAAGAAAAUGGACUUCAUGUAUCAAAAAAAUAAUAAUAAUGGUAGCUUAGGGACUGAUAUUUUUUGCUCUGGAUGCUGAUCGGGCACCAGGUUGUAUUAUAGGUUAGAAGUAGAUUAGGAAAAAUAUGUAGAUUUGCUAACUUUUAAUGUUGUUUGAAAAAAAAAAAAAAUACUUGAAGUUACAAUGAAAAGAAACAAAGGAACAAUGGACAUGACAUGGUCACUGGAUACUGCGCUCAUUAGAACGUCCAAGGCAACGGGAGAAAGACUGUUCCGGAACGGGAACCCCACUUAAAAAAACAAGACAACUCAUGCCUGCGCUGGACACGGUGCAGACGAUGAAGACUUCUCCUUCGCCAUUGCGAUGUCCAAGCGACAAUCCACUUUAAAAGACCAGGCAACCCCGAUUGGUGUCUUUUGGACUUUUGUUUACUGACGUUUGUUUCAAAUCGCAACACAUGAAGCCACCAAUUGUUGAAAGCAAACUGUUUCUAUGGAGGGAAAUGAACGCACGUUUAUUAUCGAACAGGAAAGCUACCGAAACUGCCAGAAGAAUGAACCUCAAAUAAUUAAAGCCGGGUUUCCCUUAGCGUUGGAUGUGCAUUUUAUCGCGUUUCCAUUGUUCAACAGGAUGAUCAAAAUAUCCAAACUAAUUACCAAACGAGUACCAGCGUGCAAUGUUUCAAUGAAUUACUUUUAAAUCCUGAAUAAAACAAGGUACCGUGCAAGAUAAACAAGUAUGUAAUACAAAAAUAAUCAUAACAUGUUUCCCAUGUCGUCAUUUCUAUCAUAGCAUGUAAGAUGACAAAGAAAGACAAUUCUCCAACGGCCAAUAAAUAACCCUGUGGGUUCAGCCCCCAUUUUUAUCGGCCACUAUUGUGUGUAAAAAGCACAGACAGAGGUAGUAUCAGAGCCGUAUCUAAGACGGAAGGGUGCCCGUGUAACUUCUACAGUAAAUGUGUUUUUAGGGCAGGCAUGGCGAUUUUGUUUGUGUUAAGCGUGCACAAUUGACUAGGACUGGUUACCGACCGAAUUACGUCCGUAACUUCGAUACCAGGGUUGCACGUGACGUCAUGUCAGGUUGCAGACUUGGCACAUUCAGAACAGGUGUAGUCAUAGUGGACUGCCUAUAGGAAAUGUUGCAAUUUUCUAUGCCAACAAAGCAAGCAUGGCUGACAGAAAGUGGUCAAAGGUAAGGCCCCACUUUCCGAGCUAGCUCGAUGUUAAUUUAUAUUGGAUAUGUCUAAAUACAUGCUACUAGCAUUAGCAAUUUUACAUGGCAAUUUCAACACCUCCGAACAUUUGCAAUCAAAAGUACAGCAAAGAUGCCCGUUACAACAAAAAAGCUGAUUCAUAAACUAAUUACCAAUUAUUACUACUUUAAUACACACAAAAGUACAGAAAAUUUGUAUUUUUGAGUAGCGAUACCAAGGUACCGGGCAUUGGUGAAAGAUACUUAUCCCUACAGUUGACCCCCCAAUAUCCUGCCUUUGGCGGUAGUAUCUGAGCUAUAGUAAAAAGCUGCAAGUUUGUAAAUGUAAAUACAUGUGAAUGCCAGAUGGGAAGCAGUGAAGUUUGAAACAGUUUUUGCUACUGUGUUGAAAAGCUAUCCGACGAGUAUUAAGUGUCAGACCUGACGGUGGAACCGUUGUCCAUUUUGGAAUGCAGUUUAAAAUUAUCAGCUUUUUUGCCUCUCGACUUUUUUUGGGACCUCUACCAGAGCCUAUACUGCGACUAAUACGGGUCACUAAAGAGUUGGAUAUUUCAGUCCCCUUUACAACAAUGGAAAUACGAUAAAAUGCAAACUCACAAAUGGUAAACAAGACCUAAAAAGUUGUAUAAUUGUGUCAAAAGUCCCCUUAAAUUGUGUUCUUUAGGUGUUGGAAACACAUGAAAAACACUAUAAUAACAUGAUGUACAUUCCACUGUUAACAUGUCCCUUGACCUACUUUGUACAAUGAUUUAAGACAAAAGAUAAGGACACACUCCUUCGUAAAAAGCCAACAACUCUGAACAUUCCCUCAAUUUGUCAAACGAAUGCCAGCUUCCGAGAUCCCAACACACUUUGAGCUGUGGCUAAUGACAGGCGCCAAGAAGCAGGUCUCGGCAGGAGAAGUGAGCAUCCUUUUAAACUAAUACUUCUAGGAUGACUAUAAAAAUAGAAGGUGUAAACACGCUCCAGGUGACAAGCGCCAUAUAUCUGUGCUGCCAGGAAAUAGGAUUAAAAGGUUCAAAGAGUCUAUUAGCCGGGUCCAACCGGUUGCAGGAGCGGAUAUAAAAACGAGAGCAGAUUUAUUGCAAAUAACUGAAGGAAUUCGUAGAUCUAUUGCGAUAAAGCACAUAGUGUCAAGCAAGUGGCAUAACAAACCUUUCCUGGAGCUUUGUUUCUAUAUUUAAACCAGUUAACACCACCGCUGAACCGUAUUAGCCAUUCUAGUCCACCUCCUCUAAUGAUCGCACUGUAAUCACCAGCUUUUAUCUAUCACAAAAAAAAUCACCAAGGACCAAAAUGACAAAGGGGGUGGUUAUUUUUGUGGGCUUGUGGCCACACUGUGUGUCCCUGGAGAGGCUGCAACACCUUUUCAUGCUUCAUGUCAUGGCUAAAACCGAUUGCAACAAUAGUUUCUCUUUACUCAAUUCUGAAUUCUUGCUGCAUUGGUUGAAUAUGGUCAAUCAAUCGCGUCUGUAAUGCAGAAAUGUAUUGCAAACUUAAAAGGAAAAGCAAAAGCUGAUACAAAUUUGGACAUGUACACUUUGUAAAACCUUCCUAAUACAUGUCUUCCUCCGUAAUAAACGUUGAUCUGUACUAUUUGUAGCGGAGUAAAUCAAAGCCGUUGCAGUACUGUGCUGGGUGCAUGCACAAAGCAGUCAAAACCGUGCUCAGAUCAAUUCUUGAGAGGCUGAAAUAAUUGAUGGCUAACCUAAUGUUGUAUAAGCAAUGACAUUUCCUGUGCUUGCCUUAGCCAACAAAGUUCAAACACUCGCGAUACACAAGCUUUAAUACCAGACGCCGCUCUAUACUUCCUCCUUCCAAUGGCAGACUGGGCCCCCCUGGUGAGCAAACGACGCCCACUCUAGCCUAGCAUGCUGGCGACUCCUGGGUCUAAACAGCACGGUACUGAUGACGCAUAACUUGCGAUAUAGAGGCACAAUUUGAAAUCAAACCAUUGAGGUGUAUAUGCAUACGCAUGUAUUUGCGAUGGUUGAAAACAAUAGUCAAAAAGAUGAAAAUAAAUAUUGAGUUGAAAAAUGUUGAUAAGAAAAACAUACUGUUUCUCUCUUGAUCUGUAGGUGGAUAACGAUGUGCUUACUAUGCUUACCCAAUUGCUCACUCCUCCAAACAGAGGGCCAAGAUGUAGUCAUGGCAAACACACACCAAGAAAUGAGACGUCACCUGAUUCCCGCAACAUCAUCACCCCUUGCCGCCUAAGGAUAAUGAAUUAGCUAUAUAACGCUAACGUUCAGAAGCUGCAAUAGAGUAUGGACAAUAGUUACGUUAACCAGGUCGUCAAAACGAGCUAUUUUAAAAUUACACUUCAUUGUCAACAUUGCGAAUGUCAAUUCUGAAAGUAGAUUAGGGGUCAAAUAUUUCAUGAAACGUAAGAAAUUGUUGUAAAGUCUGUUAGCUGCUAGUCUGAUAUCACAGUUUACCAACUGCACCCGUGUUAGCUAUCUCUAUUACGAGCAAUUCUGAAAUAAAAACAUUUAACACAGGGCAAUAUCUACAUGUAGUAGCAAAGGAUUGGAUACCUCACAAAACUCGUGUUAUAACUGUGAAAAUCAACAAUUCAUAUAAUUACUUACUUUCGGCUCAGCUAUCUUCACAUAACCCUCGGUUGCUCUUUGUUUGGAGUGCAUGGCAGUCAGCCAUUCUCUCAACCCAAAGGAGAAAGACAUGGGUUAAGGAGAAGAAUUGGGAUUCAGCCUUACUGCCUCACACGGUCCCAAAACUUUGUGUAAUACCACGGCUACACAAAGUUUACAUACAAAUUACGUAUACAUUUUGCAUAUUGUAGCUAACACUGUUUUCAAACUGAAAAUAAAAAAGUACAGUAGUGACUUUACGUAAAAGAGACAACCACGAAAAGCUAAGCCAGCUCAUCUAAUCGAGUCAAUUAUUUAUGGUCGACAGAGGUAAGGAAAAACUCUGACCUAAAGUGCAGUUUCAUGUGGAGAAAAAAAAAUCUAAUUUUAGAUAAACACCAGUGUUGUUGUGAACAAAGCCAAAAUGUCUUGAGAGUAAUGGCAUAUUUUAAAGAGUCCCAACUAACGCGGGUUAUGCAUAUCUGCCAGUAUCCAUCCUCUUCACCCCAAAAUAGUGAUUGUCACAGAAAGGAAGUGAAGUGUAAUUGACUGAAAGUGUAGGGAUAAUUAAAGUAACAUGUUGGACAGGAGGGAAGAAAUGAAUGCCUCCCCAUUUAAUGGUUGCUUAGGGAGAAAGAGUGUUUCCGUCAUCUGACUCCACUUUUGGGGACUGGAAAUAGGUGCUGGUGGAAAAUGUAAAAACGCCACAAAAGUCACUCCACGUACUCGGGUCAUCAGGCGCCAGGAUGUCACGAUUAGUGGAGAGCUUCAUUCGACAUAUAAAUAUUGUGUCCCGUCACUCAGAUGGCGUGCUGAUGAACUGACUAAACAGUGUUUUAAGGCAGUUGAUAAGAUCAUCAACAAAUAACAGGUUACACCAAUGAUGCACACGGGGUCCCUCAGAAGGCAUGUACAAAUACGUCGGACAAGGACCAGUGACCAAUAUUUGUAUUAUUUCUUCAUGUAAAUAACCUAUUCAAUACAAAUUAGAGAGAUUGUACAGUUGUGUGUGCUGAGAAGCCCCAUUUUGUGGUACAAUGAUGUCAUUAUAAAAACCACAGCAGUGUUGGCCAAGAUUUAAGGGAGUCCUUAUUUAAAUUACUAAAGCUCUGGACACCUUACGUGCACAUCUUACGCUUCUCCAAGCACUGGACAAAGGCUUCAGAGAGUAGACAGACAACCAUAAGGCAAGUGGUACGGUUCAGAUCAGUUCAUUUAAGGCGCAAUCAGGCUUAUCUUUUCAUUGUUGACCCACCAAUGGAGUGGUUAGCUUCACCCUUCACAAGUGUUACAACUUGAACCCAGACAAACGGGUGCAGAAAAGUAGGAUGUGUUGGCCAUCAAAACGUAAUAAAAGGCAUACCUUGCCAAAACUGAAGUGAAGUGUACCACUUGUUUGAAACGAGGCUCAGGUGUACAGUCAUAUUGACAUUUGAGAGGUAACUGAAACCUAGCUUUAGACGAUGAAACUGCAAGCGCACAACUCUAGAUCAUGUAUGCCAGCUGUUUUGGAACAGUCUAAAACAAAAUGGACCUAAGCAGUACCUAUCAUCAAAGAACCCUAGAGCAUCUCUAAUCUGUCACUACUCUCUCCUGACCACACUGCUGCAUCUCUCUUGUACAUACAAUAUAGCUUAUUUUUCAAUUUUGUUUGGCCUUCUUUACAGGCUACAUAUAAUAUCUCAUGUUCUGAAGUAGAAAGAAAAACAGAAUGUUAUAUUUCAGUCAAAGAAAAGGAACCUAAGGAAUCAUUUAUCAAUAAAAAAAAAUAGAUGAUGAAAAUAAUUGUAUUUCUUGUAUAGUGAAUCACUGAUGUUUAAAAGUUUGGGAUUUUAUACUCUGUUUUGUGAAUAUUGGCUGAAGCUGGGAUGGACUCAUUGCCAUGAGUUGUUUUUUAUUUAUAUUUUUAAAGGCUGCACAAUCCAUAUUUAAAAUACCUUAAAAGAUAUUUUGCAUGCUGACAGCUCUUGGAUCAAUAAUAAAACAAACAAAAUGCACUAUAAAAAAAAAAGACUGACGGGUGGUAAUGGUCAUGUGGAAUGAGGAGGAAGUCCAUUGUGCUCUUGAUAAUGUGACUUUUGGGGACCAUGUACAGAUUUGAGUUAGUAAAAGCUGCCAAUUUUAGCACAUUUUUCCGUCUUGUGUGUAUGCAAUUAUUCAAGAUUAUUGAGGGUAUUCUGCAAGGCCGAAACUGGAACGUGAAGUUUACCCCUUGAAACUUAUAAGUAUUCAUUAUGGGAAGACUUCCAAGAAACCCACACUUUCUUCUUAACUGUCACCUCUGUCAAAAUGACCAAAAAAAACAUCUCUGAUAAUGAAGCACUUUCGACCCCGGUAGAACAGGACGUCCCCAAUUAACUGGUCCUCAGUCUGAAAGGAGUCCCCGAAAGUCAUCCAAGUCAAGCAAACAUACUAACAGAUCAAAACCUAUGCUAUCACCAUCGUAUUUAAGCUAUGGAUGAAUGCUGCACAAUGUUGUGUGUUUUGUUUCUUAAGGGCUGGUGGUUGUCUAUGGACUUCAUCUACUCUGUGUUUACAUUUUGUUUUGCUUUUUGCCUCCCAACUGAAGAGAUCUGCUCCAAUCAUUUUACCAAUGUGAGGAGGGAAUUCUGCCUUAAACCCAGCCUGUUCUCUCUCUCUCUCGCAGUUACUACCUGUGAACACUGCUUGGACCACCAUGUAUUGUAGAAAUGGUGGGGGGAGUGCCACAUCUUUAAAGUCAGAAAACCUGCUGUUUAAUUUACCUCAAGCUUAUUUGUUGCAUGACUCUCCAUUGCCAUCGGUUACAAGGACCAAAAAUGUCUCAGCCUACUGAGCGCUUUGCACCAACCGAAAAUCCAAUCAGACUCCUCACUAAUCAUUCCCAGCUUCAUCAUCUAAUCCUAUUCAGUCAUGUAAAACCUAUUUGUAUUUAUUCAAAUUCUCACUGAAUGAAAUGCUAUAAUUCCAUGACUAACUGGGAUAACACGUUUUUUUUUCAUUUGUUUUUGAAACAGAGAUGUAAUUUGAAUCAAUGUCGGCUCGGGUCUGUUUCCCCUUGAUUUGGAGUGAGAUCCUACCAUAGUGCUCCUGAACUCUGUAGUUCUCUAGUUCAUUAUAUUCUGCUUAGACGAAAAUAAAGCACAGUCCUGUAGAAAAAG